rnacentral:rRNA from 1 species
UGGGGAAUAUUGGGCAAUGGGCGAAAGCCUGACCCAGCAACGCCGCGUGAAGGAUGAAGGUUUUCGGAUUGUAAACUUCUUUGACGAGGGACGAUAAUGACGGUACCUCGAAAACAAGCCACGGCUAACUACGUGCCAGCAGCCGCGGUAAUACGUAGGUGGCGAGCGUUGUCCGGAAUUACUGGGUGUAAAGGGCGUGUAGGCGGGAUUAAAAGUCAGAUGUGAAAUACCGGAGCUUAACUUCGGGGCUGCAUUUGAAACUUUAGUUCUUGAGUGAUGGAGAGGCAAGUGGAAUUCCUAGUGUAGCGGUGGAAUGCGUAGAUAUUAGGAGGAACACCAGUGGCGAAGGCGACUUGCUGGACAUUAACUGACGCUGAGGCGCGAAAGCGUGGGGAGCAAACA